UACGGGGGGGGCAAGCGUUGUUCGGAAUUACUGGGCGUAAAGGGCUUGUAGGUGGCCAACUAAGUCAGACGUGAAAUCCCUCGGCUUAACCGGGGAACUGCGUCUGAUACUGGAUGGCUUGAGUGCGAUAGGGGCAAGGGGAAUUCCCAGUGUAGCGGUGAAAUGCGUAGAUAUUGGGAAGAACACCGGUGGCGAAAGCGCCUUGCUGGGUCUGCACUGACACUGAGGGACGAAAGCUAGGGGAGCGAAAG
rnacentral:rRNA from 1 species